GUUUUUCGUUGGCUGGAUUUUCCAAGUGUAGCCAAACACAAAAAACCCAGAAAAUGAUUUCAAGAAAUCAUUUUUUGGGUUUCCAAACACAGCCUAAGUUUUUUUUAGUAUUU